AGAGUUUGAUCCUGGCUCAGGACGAACGCUGGCGGCGUGCCUAAUACAUGCAAGUCGAACGCUUUUUCUUUCACCGGAGCUUGCUCCACCGAAAGAAAAAGAGUGGCGAACGGGUGAGUAACACGUGGGUAACCUGCCCAUCAGAAGGGGAUAACACUUGGAAACAGGUGCUAAUACCGUAUAACACUAUUUUCCGCAUGGAAGAAAGUUGAAAGGCGCUUUUGCGUCACUGAUGGAUGGACCCGCGGUGCAUUAGCUAGUUGGUGAGGUAACGGCUCACCAAGGCAACGAUGCAUAGCCGACCUGAGAGGGUGAUCGGCCACACUGGGACUGAGACACGGCCCAGACUCCUACGGGAGGCAGCAGUAGGGAAUCUUCGGCAAUGGACGAAAGUCUGACCGAGCAACGCCGCGUGAGUGAAGAAGGUUUUCGGAUCGUAAAACUCUGUUGUUAGAGAAGAACAAGGAUGAGAGUAAAAUGUUCAUCCCUUGACGGUAUCUAACCAGAAAGCCACGGCUAACUACGUGCCAGCAGCCGCGGUAAUACGUAGGUGGCAAGCGUUGUCCGGAUUUAUUGGGCGUAAAGCGAGCGCAGGCGGUUUCUUAAGUCUGAUGUGAAAGCCCCCGGCUCAACCGGGGAGGGUCAUUGGAAACUGGGAGACUUGAGUGCAGAAGAGGAGAGUGGAAUUCCAUGUGUAGCGGUGAAAUGCGUAGAUAUAUGGAGGAACACCAGUGGCGAAGGCGGCUCUCUGGUCUGUAACUGACGCUGAGGCUCGAAAGCGUGGGGAGCGAACAGGAUUAGAUACCCUGGUAGUCCACGCCGUAAAC
rnacentral:rRNA from 1 species